rnacentral:lncRNA from 1 species
GGUACUUACAGAUGAGCAAAAGACCCGGGUUGCCAGAAGAAUGUAAGUCAGCCUCGAAGACUGAGAAGGCAGAGUCACUACAUGGGCACCGGCACAGACCCUCCUGGCCCCUUGAGAUGAGUCUGUGCUCUGUCUCAAGUGACAGCCGUCCCACCAACGUAUUGUUCCCUGUCUUCAGAUAUUUGGACUCUACGAAGUACAGAGGCAGCGCAGAUUUUUAUCCUUGUGCAGAUUCUUCAAAAUGAACACAAGGUUACAUAACCCAAGAUGCACAGAGAAAUGUGCAGUGUGAUGGAGUUUCCAGGACACAGGCUGCAGACCAGUGAAUGGCCGACAUCAGCUGGCUUGGAGGGAGGUGCGCUGGAAUCUCCUGCAGUUCCUGACGGAAGUGGGCUGUUUCCACGGUUUAGAACCGCUCACAACGUGAGCUACUUUUUUUAGUCUUUUCAAGACAGAAGCUUGGGUCAAAGUCUUAUUCAUCUGUGGCAGAGGGUAAUAAAAACAGGAAGUCUGGGACCUGUCUACUGAGAAAAGAAAGCUCUUUCUCCUAAGUUGGGGACU